rnacentral:rRNA from 1 species
AGGGUUUGAUUAUGGCUCAGGAUGAACGCUGGCGGCAUGCCUAAUACAUGCAAGUCGAACGAACUACCUCUAUGACCUAAAAAGUGCUUGCACUGGAUAGUAAUUAGAAUUUGUAGUUAGUGGCGGACGGGUGAGUAACACGUGGGUUACCUGCCACACAGAAUGGAAUAACUAUUGGAAACGAUAGCUAAUACCGUAUAUGACCUUCGGGUUGAAAGGGGCGUUUGCCUCGCUGUGUGAUGGGCCUGCGGCGCAUUAGCUAGUUGGUAAGGUAAAGGCUUACCAAGGCGACGAUGCGUAGCCGGACUGAGAGGUCGAUCGGCCACAUUGGGACUGAGACACGGCCCAAACUUCUACGGGAGGCAGCAGUAGGGAAUUUUCCGCAAUGGACGAAAGUCUGACGGAGCAAUGCCGCGUGAGUGAUGAAGGUUUUCGAAUCGUAAAGCUCUGUUGUAAGGGAAGAACAGCACUAGUAGGAAAUGGCUAGUGUGUGACGGUACCUUACCAGAAAGCCACGGCUAACUACGUGCCAGCAGCCGCGGUAAU